UACGUAGGGUGCAAGCGUUAAUCGGAAUUAUUGGGCGUAAAGAGCUCGUAGGCGGCUUGUCACGUCGAUUGUGAAAGCCCGAGGCUUAACCUCGGGUCUGCAGUCGAUACGGGCUAGCUAGAGUGUGGUAGGGGAGAUCGGAAUUCCUGGUGUAGCGGUGAAAUGCGCAGAUAUCAGGAGGAACACCGGUGGCGAAGGCGGAUCUCUGGGCCAUUACUGACGCUGAGGAGCGAAAGCGUGGGGAGCGAACAGG
rnacentral:rRNA from 1 species